CGGAGCCACCCAUGACACGAAAGGCAGCGGACUACUCUCAAGUCUCUUUAUUUUUUGAUUUAAAAUAUUUAUAACCCGCUCCUCCAGUGCCAUACAGCUCCGGGUGGCUUUCCUUCAGCCUCCGUUCUCUUCCUGAAACGUCGGCCAGGUUCCUCCAUUGGCGACAACAGAAAAAAAUAAAAGCCGUAGCGAGCAUGCGCAGUAGUACGAGUUGAGGCGGGAAAAUCUCUCCGGGCUUUUGGCGGCCUUUCCCGGCUGCGCCUCCCGCUGCCCCGCCCCCUCCCUGCUCCUGACUAGAGCCCAGCCCGCUUCUCUGAUUGGCUGCCCGGGUCUGGCCGCUUGACAGCUGGCCCCGCCCCCCGCAGCUGAGGCGAAGCGCGCGUCGUUUGAGAGGGAGAUUGCAGGCAGCUGCGGGCUGAGGCGAGCGAAGCGCACGAGGAGGAGGAGGAGGAGGAGGAGGAGGGGGCUGCCCCUGGCGCUGCCUGCCUGAGGGGCACGAAGGAAAGGAGAGAGGAGGACAGUCGAAGGCCGCCUCGGCCAGGCUCCCUGGAAGACAAACGCCGGCCCGAGGCCAAGGAAGGAAGGGCUGAGGGGGCUUCAGGCUCCACCGCCACUGGGAAACCUCUGAGGAGAAACUAGAGGCUGGCUAGGGCACUGCAAGGAAGGGCUCCAUGCCCAGCCUUGGUCUCUACCUUGCCUAAAUUUAUAUAUUGUUUUAUAAAUUUAUAUAUAUAGAGAGAGAGAGAGAGAGUAAUUGAAUAUCUCUGAGGGAAAGCUACCUCCAAGAUGCUACAGAGAAGGGCUCUAUGCCCAGCCUUGCCCUUGAACUCACAAAAACCAAAAGUCUCUGAGGGAAGGAUGUCUCCAAGAUGCUACAGAGAAGGGCUCGAUGCCCAGCCUUGCCCUUUAACUCACAAAAACCAAAAGUCUCUGAGGGAAGGAUGUCUCCAAGAUGCUACAGAGAAGGGCUCUAUGCCCAGCCUUGCCCUUUAACUCACAAAAACCAAAAGUCUCUGAGGGGAGGAUGUCUCCAAGAUGCUACAGAGAAGGGCUCUAUGCCCAGCCUUGCCCUUGAACUCACAAAAACCAAAAGUCUCUGAGGGAAGGAUGUCUCCAAGAUGCUACAGAGAAGGGCUCUAUGCCCAGCCUUGCCCUUUAGCUCACAAAAACUAAAAGUCUCUGAGGGGAGGAUGUCUCCAAGAUGCUACAGAGAAGGGCUCGAUGCCCAGCCUUGCCCUUUAACUCACAAAAACCAAAAGUCUCUGAGGGAAGGAUGUCUCCAAGAUGCUACAGAGAAGGGCUCUAUGCCCAGCCUUGCCCUUUAACUCACAAAAACCAAAAGUCUCUGAGGGGAGGAUGUCUCCAAGAUGCUACAGAGAAGGGCUCUAUGCCCAGCCUUGCCCUUGAACUCACAAAAACCAAAAGUCUCUGAGGGAAGGAUGUCUCCAAGAUGCUACAGAGAAGGGCUCUAUGCCCAGCCUUGCCCUUGAACUCACAAAAACCAAAAGUCUCUGAGGGGAGGAUGUCUCCAAGAUACUACAGAGAAGGGCUCUAUGCCCAGCCUUGGCCUUAACUCAGCUAAAUAGAUAAAUCUGAGGGAAGGCAGUCUCUAAGACAGCCUUUACCUAUGUUGCCUCAGGAAAAAGAGUGAAAGGAGAGAAGAUGCUGCUAAGAGAGAAGGGGAGAAGUCAUACAAAGAGCACCUUGAACGCACCGUACUGCCAGGAUAGGGCUUCUUUUAAGAAUCCUUUCUUGGAGAAUGGCAUGAAUAAGGGCUUCAAGCCCACUGCCAAAUAACCGUCCCUAGGAAAAACAAAAACUCUAAGUGGAGAAUUCAUCUCUCUGCUUUGGCUUCAUUCUGCCAAGGGGAAAAAAAGGAAAUCUCUGCAAAUGCUACAGCCGUGCUGACGUGAACAAAAGCCCUGCCAUCUCACUGCCCACAUUCAUAGCAUUCUGUCUGCAAAGGGCAAAACGCAACAGAUUAUCCCCGUCCUCAGAACGCUGGGGCGCCACAGCCUUCUGCAUCACGGCAAAAAAUCUGUUCAUCAUUCCAGCGUAAUUGCUCUGUGCAUGCAAAUGCUGUAAAUAUGCACAGUGUGGGGCAGGACUUCUGAGUGCAACGGCACAGGGGCUGUACCGAAAAUAUCUGAAGCCAGAGGCUGUAGAACUACAGCCUAGGACAUUUUAUUGUCCAAAAUAUGGGGAAACGUGGGGUUAUAUAACUCAAGGGUGACAGAUUUGGACCCUUGAGUUCCAGAAAACUCUUAAGUCAGGUGCUGUAAAUGAAAGUAUGAGCAUUCUUCACUCUCCCAACAUCUUUCUAAGGCAGCAUGGUCUGCAAUUUGUGACUUUCUUGAACGGAAUACACUGAAUGAAUGUGAGAAGCUUCAUGCUUCUUUAUUCUUUUAGUACUGCAUACAGAUAGAAAAAUCAGGCAAUAUAAAUCUUACAAAUAAAUAGAAUUGGACAGGAAAACCUCUAAGAUGGUGCACUGAAUGGCAUCAGCAUUUGUAAGAUUAUGGCUAUCUUGAAUAGAACACGUCGUUGGGGUGCUUUCUCCUCCCAAGAGGCCUCUUGCCUAAAGAUCUCAAGAAGGAACUAACAGCGUUCCAAGAACAAAGGAAAAGGAGCAACGAAGCACAACAGAAGCCAAACGAGGGGCUGCAGAACUCAAGCCGUGCAAGACUCUCGGAAUACAGGGGCUCUCUACAGGAGCCUCAGGCUUCUUGAUUCCCCCACCCGUUUGUCAGGCAGCAGCAUCUCUAAGAUUCUGGCUGUCCUGAAUGCAACACGCUUCAUGCGUGUCUGAAGCUUCAGGCUUCUUGAUUCUCCCACCAGCCCGGUCAGGUAGCAUCAUCUCUAAGAUUCUGGCUGUCUUGAAUGCAACACGCUUCAUGCGUGUGUGAAGCUUCACGCUUCUUCAUUCAUUCCACGGAGGGGAUGGCCAGCAGUUUCUGUAGGUUUCUAGCAAUCUUGAAUGGAACAGGCUUCAUGCAUGCUCCAUUCUGCCCCCUGAAGACUGCUUUGGCAAGAAGAAACAGAAUUGGCGUGCCUUUCUCCAGGACCUCCAGGCCCUAAACUUGACAUCGGGAUGCUUUCUCCUCCCAAGAGGCCUCUUGCCUAAAGAUCUCAAGAAGGAACUAAGAGUGUUCCAAGAACAAAGGAAAAGGAGCAACGAAGCACAACAGAAGCCAAACCAGGGGCUGCAGAACUCAAGCCGCACAAGACUCUCUGAAUACAGGGGCUCUCCACAGAAGCCUCAGGCUUCUUGAUUCCCCCACCCGUUUGUCAGGCAGCAGCAUCUCUAAGAUUCUGGCUGUCCUGAUUGAAACACGCUUCAUGCGUGUCUGAAGCUUCAGGCUUCUUGAUUCUCCCACCAGCCCGGUCAGGUAGCAUCAUCUCUAAGAUUCUGGCUGUCUUGAAUGCAACACGCUUCAUGCGUGUCUGAAGCUUCACGCUUCUUCAUUCAUUCCACGGAGGGGAUGGCCAGCAGUUUCUGUAGGUUUCUAGCAAUCUUGAAUGGAACAGGCUUCAUGCAUGCUCCAUUCUGCCCCCUGAAGACUGCUUUGGCAAGAAGAAACAGAAUUGGCGCGCCUUUCUCCAGGACCUCCAGGCCCUAAACUUGACAUCGGGAUGCUUUCUCCUCCCAAGAGGCCUCAGUGGCAAAUCUCCUUCCUACAGGUUUCAGGGAAGAACUCAUGGAGUCUCAAGAACGGAAGAAACGGAGCAACGAGGCACGACAGAAGCCAAAACGGGCUGCAGAACUCAAGCCGCACAAGACUCUCUGAAUACAGGGGCUCUCCACAGAAGCCUCAGGCUUCUUGAUUCUCCCACCCGUUUGUCAGGCAGCAGCAUCUCUAAGAUUCUGGCUGUCCUGAUUGAAACACGCUUCAUGCGUGUUUGAAGCUUCAGGCUUCUUGAUUCUCCCACCAGCCCGGUCAGGUAGCAUCAUCUCUAAGAUUCUAGCUGUCUUGAAUGCAACACGCUUCAUGCGUGUUUGAAGCUUCAUGCUUCUUCAUUCAUUCCACGCAUAGCUAGGCCAGCAGUUUCUGUAAGUUUCUAGCAAUCUUGAAUGGAACAGGCUUCAUGCAUGCUCCAUUCUGACCCCUGAAGACUAGUUUGGCAAGAAGAAACAGAAUUGGCGCGCCUUUCUCCAGGACCUCCAGGCCCUAAACUUGACAUCAGGAUGCUUUCUCCUCCCAAGAGGCCUCUUGCCUGAAGAUCUCAAGAAGGAACUAAGAGCGUUCCAAGAACGAAGGAAAGGGAGCAACGAAGCACAACAGAAGCCAAACCAGGGGCUGCAAAACUCAAGCCGCGCAAGACUCUCUGAAUACAGGGGCUCUCCACAGAAGCCUCAGGCUUCUUGAUUCCCCCACCCGUUUGUCAGGCAGCAGCAUCUCUAAGAUUCUGGCUGUCCUGAUUGAAACACGCUUCAUGCGUGUCUGAAGCUUCAGGCUUCUUGAUUCUCUCUCUAGCUUGGUCAGGUAGCAUCAUCUCUAAGAUUCUGGCUGUCUUGAAUGCAGCACACUUCAUGCGUGUGUGAAGCUUCACGCUUCUUCAUUCAUUCCACGGAGGGGAUGGCCAGCAGUUUCUGUAGGUUUCUAGCAAUCUUGAAUGGAACAGGCUUCAUGCAUGCUCCAUUCUGACCCCUGAAGACUGCUUUGGCAAGAAGAAACAGAAUUGGCGCGCCUUUCUCCAGGACCCCCAGGACCCAAACUUGACAUCGGGACGCUUUCUCCUCCCAAGAGACCUCAGUGGCAAAUCUCCCACCUACAGGUUUCAAGGAAGAACUCACGGCGUCUCAAGAACGGAAGAAACGGAGCAACGAGGCACGACAAAAGCCAAAACGGGCUGCAGAAUUCAAGCCGCGCAAGACUCUCUGAAUACCGGGGCUCUCCACAGAAGCCUCAGGCUUCUUGAUUCUCCCACCCGUUUGUCAGGCAGCAGCAUCUCUAAGAUUCUGGCUGUCCUGAUUGAAACACGCUUCAUGCGUGUCUGAAGCUUCAGGCUUCUUGAUUCUCCCACCAGCCCGGUCAGGUAGCAUCAUCUCUAAGAUUCUGGCUGUCUUGAAUGCAACACGCUUCAUGCGUGUGUGAAGCUUCACGCUUCUUCAUUCAUUCCAUUGAGGGGAUGGCCAGCAGUUUCUGUAGGUUUCUAGCAAUCUUGAAUGGAACAGGCUUCAUGCAUGCUCCAUUCUGCCCCCUGAAGACUAGUUUGGCAAGAAGAAACAGAAUUGGCGCGCCUUUCUCCAGGACAUCCAGGCCCUAAACGUGACAUCAGGAUGCUUUCUCCUCCCAAGAGGCCUCUUGCCUGAAGAUCUCAAGAAGGAACUAAGAGCGUUCCAAGAACGAAGGAAAGGGAGCAACGAAGCACAACAGAAGCCAAACCAGGGGCUGCAAAACUCAAGCCGCGCAAGACUCUCUGAAUACAGGGGCUCUCCACAGAAGCCUCAGGCUUCUUGAUUCCCCCACCCGUUUGUCAGGCAGCAGCAUCUCUAAGAUUCUGGCUGUCCUGAUUGAAACACGCUUCAUGCGUGUCUGAAGCUUCAGGCUUCUUGAUUCUCUCUCUAGCUUGGUCAGGUAGCAUCAUCUCUAAGAUUCUGGCUGUCUUGAAUGCAGCACGCUUCAUGCGUGUGUGAAGCUUCACGCUUCUUCAUUCAUUCCACGGAGGGGAUGGCCAGCAGUUUCUGUAGGUUUCUAGCAAUCUUGAAUGGAACAGGCUUCAUGCAUGCUCCAUUCUGACCCCUGAAGACUGCUUUGGCAAGAAGAAACAGAAUUGGCGCGCCUUUCUCCAGGACCCCCAGGACCCAAACUUGACAUCGGGACGCUUUCUCCUCCCAAGAGACCUCAGUGGCAAAUCUCCCACCUACAGGUUUCAAGGAAGAACUCACGGCGUCUCAAGAACGGAAGAAACGGAGCAACGAGGCACGACAAAAGCCAAAACGGGCUGCAGAAUUCAAGCCGCGCAAGACUCUCUGAAUACCGGGGCUCUCCACAGAAGCCUCAGGCUUCUUGAUUCUCCCACCCGUUUGUCAGGCAGCAGCAUCUCUAAGAUUCUGGCUGUCCUGAUUGAAACACGCUUCAUGCGUGUCUGAAGCUUCAGGCUUCUUGAUUCUCUCUCUAGCUUGGUCAGGUAGCAUCAUCUCUAAGAUUCUGGCUGUCUUGAAUGCAACACGCUUCAUGCGUGUGUGAAGCUUCACGCUUCUUCAUUCAUUCCACGGAGGGGAUGGCCAGCAGUUUCUGUAGGUUUCUAGCAAUCUUGAAUGGAACAGGCUUCAUGCAUGCUCCAUUCUGACCCCUGAAGACUGCUUUGGCAAGAAGAAACAGAAUUGGCGCGCCUUUCUCCAGGACCUCCAGGACCCAAACUUGACAUCGGGACGCUUUCUCCUCCCAAGAGACCUCAGUGGCAAAUCUCCCACCUACAGGUUUCAAGGAAGAACUCACGGCGUCUCAAGAACGGAAGAAACGGAGCAACGAGGCACGACAGAAGCCAAAACGGGCUGCAGAACUCAAGCCGCACAAGACUCUCUGAAUACAGGGGCUCUCCACAGAAGCCUCAGGCUUCUUGAUUCUCCCACCCGUUUGUCAGGCAGCAGCAUCUCUAAGAUUCUGGCUGUCCUGAUUGAAACACGCUUCAUGCGUGUUUGAAGCUUCAGGCUUCUUGAUUCUCCCACCAGCCCGGUCAGGUAGCAUCAUCUCUAAGAUUCUAGCUGUCUUGAAUGCAAAACGCUUCAUGCGUGUUUGAAGCUUCACGCUUCUUCAUUCAUUCCACGCAUAGCUAGGCCAGCAGUUUCUGUAAGUUUCUAGCAAUCUUGAAUGGAACAGGCUUCAUGCAUGCUCCAUUCUGACCCAAGAAGACUAGUUUGGCAAGAAGAAACAGAAUUGGCGCACCUUUCUCCAGGACCUCCAGGCCCUAAACUUGACAUCAGGAUGCUUUCUCCUCCCAAGAGGCCUCUUGCCUGAAGAUCUCAAGAAGGAACUAACAGCGUUCCAAGAACGAAGGAAAGGGAGCAACGAAGCACAACAGAAGCCAAACCAGGGGCUGCAGAACUCAAGCCGCGCAAGACUCUCUGAAUACAGGGGCUCUCCACAGAAGCCUCAGGCUUCUUGAUUCCCCCACCCGUUUGUCAGGCAGCAGCAUCUCUAAGAUUCUGGCUGUCCUGAUUGAAACACGCUUCAUGCGUGUCUGAAGCUUCAGGCUUCUUGAUUCUCUCUCUAGCUUGGUCAGGUAGCAUCAUCUCUAAGAUUCUGGCUGUCUUGAAUGCAACACGCUUCAUGCGUGUGUGAAGCUUCACGCUUCUUCAUUCAUUCCACGGAGGGGAUGGCCAGCAGUUUCUGUAGGUUUCUAGCAAUCUUGAAUGGAACAGGCUUCAUGCAUGCUCCAUUCUGACCCCUGAAGACUGCUUUGGCAAGAAGAAACAGAAUUGGCGCGCCUUUCUCCAGGACCUCCAGGACCCAAACUUGACAUCGGGACGCUUUCUCCUCCCAAGAGACCUCAGUGCCAAAUCUCCCACCUACAGGUUUCAAGGAAGAACUCACGGCAUCUCAAGAACGGAAGAAACGGAGCAACGAGGCACGACAAAAGCCAAAACGGGCUGCAGAACUCAAGCCGCGCAAGACUCUCUGAAUACCGGGGCUCUCCACAGAAGCCUCAGGCUUCUUGAUUCUCCCACCCGUUUGUCAGGCAGCAGCAUCUCUAAGAUUCUGGCUGUCCUGAUUGAAACACGCUUCAUGCGUGUCUGAAGCUUCAGGCUUCUUGAUUCUCUCUCUAGCUUGGUCAGGUAGCAUCAUCUCUAAGAUUCUGGCUGUCUUGAAUGCAACACGCUUCAUGCGUGUUUGAAGCUUCACGCUUCUUCAUUCAUUCCACGGAGGGGAUGGCCAGCAGUUUCUGUAGGUUUCUAGCAAUCUUGAAUGGAACAGGCUUCAUGCAUGCUCCAUUCUGCCCCCUGAAGACUGCUUUGUCAAGAAGAAACAGAAUUGGCGCGCCUUUCUCCAGGACCUCCAGGACCCAAACUUGACAUCGGGACGCUUUCGCCUCCCAAGAGGCCUCUUGCCUAAAGAUCUCAAGAAGGAACUAACAGCGUUCCAAGAACGAAGGAAAGGGAGCAACGAAGCACAACAGAAGUCAAACCAGGGGCUGCAAAACUCAAGCCGCGCAAGACUCUCUGAAUACAGGGGCUCUCCACAGAAGCCUCAGGCUUCUUGAUUCCCCCACCCGUUUGUCAGGCAGCAGCAUCUCUAAGAUUCUGGCUGACCUGAAUGCAACACGCUUCAUGCGUGUCUGAAGCUUCAGGCUUCUUGAUUCUCCCACCAGCCCGGUCAGGUAGCAUCAUCUCUAAGAUUCUGGCUGUCUUGAAUGCAACACGCUUCAUGCGUGUCUGAAGCUUCACGCUUCUUCAUUCAUUCCACGGAGGGGAUGGCCAGCAGUUUCUGUAGGUUUCUAGCAAUCUUGAAUGGAACAGGCUUCAUGCAUGCUCCAUUCUGCCCCCUGAAGACUGCUUUGGCAAGAAGAAACAGAAUUGGCGCGCCUUUCUCCAGGACCUCCAGGACCCAAACUUGACAUCGGGACGCUUUCGCCUCCCAAGAGGCCUCUUGCCUAAAGAUCUCAAGAAGGAACUAACAGCGUUCCAAGAACGAAGGAAAGGGAGCAACGAAGCACAACAAAAGUCAAACCAGGGGCUGCAAAACUCAAGCCGCGCAAGACUCUCUGAAUACAGGGGCUCUCCACAGAAGCCUCAGGCUUCUUGAUUCCCCCACCCGUUUGUCAGGCAGCAGCAUCUCUAAGAUUCUGGCUGUCCUGAUUGAAACACACUUCAUGCGUGUCUGAAGCUUCAGGCUUCUUGAUUCUCCCACCAGCCCGGUCAGGUAGCAUCAUCUCUAAGAUUCUGGCUGUCUUGAAUGCAACACACUUCAUGCGUGUGUGAAGCUUCACGCUUCUUCAUUCAUUCCAUUGAGGGGAUGGCCAGCAGUUUCUGUAAGUUUCUAGCAAUCUUGAAUGGAACAGGCUUCAUGCAUGCUCCAUUCUGCCCCCUGAAGACUGCUUUGGCAAGAAGAAAUAGAAUUGGCGCGCCUUUCUCCAGGACCUCCAGGCCCUGAACUUGACAUCGGGAUGCUUUCUCCUCCCAAGAGGCCUCAGUGGCAAAUCUCCUUCCUACAGGUUUCAGGGAAGAACUCAUGGAGUCUCAAGAACGGAAGAAACGGAGCAACGAGGCACGAAAGAAGCCAAAACGGGCUGCAGAACUCAAGCCGCACAAGACUCUCUGAAUACAGGGGCUCUCCACAGAAGCCUCAGGCUUCUUGAUUCCCCCACCCGUUUGUCAGGCAGCAGCAUCUCUAAGAUUCUGGCUCUCCGGAUUGAAACACGCUUCAUGCGUGUCUGAAGCUUCAGGCUUCUUGAUUCUCCCACCAGCCCGGUCAGGUAGCAUCAUCUCUAAGAUUCUGGCUGUCUUGAAUGCAACACGCUUCAUGCGUGUUUGAAGCUUCACGCUUCUUCAUUCAUUCCACGCAUAGCUAGGCCAGCAGUUUCUGUAAGUUUCUAGCAAUCUUGAAUGGAACAGGCUUCAUGCAUGCUCCAUUCUGACCCAAGAAGACUAGUUUGGCAAGAAGAAACAGAAUUGGCGCACCUUUCUGCAGGACCUCCAGGCCCUAAACUUGACAUCAGGAUGCUUUCUCCUCCCAAGAGGCCUCUUGCCUGAAGAUCUCAAGAAGGAACUAAGAGCGUUCCAAGAACGAAGGAAAGGGAGCAACGAAGCACAACAGAAGCCAAACCAGGGGCUGCAAAACUCAAGCCGCGCAAGACUCUCUGAAUACAGGGGCUCUCCACAGAAGCCUCAGGCUUCUUGAUUCCCCCACCCGUUUGUCAGGCAGCAGCAUCUCUAAGAUUCUGGCUGUCCUGAUUGAAACACGCUUCAUGCGUGUCUGAAGCUUCAGGCUUCUUGAUUCUCUCUCUAGCUUGGUCAGGUAGCAUCAUCUCUAAGAUUCUGGCUGUCUUGAAUGCAACACGCUUCAUGCGUGUGUGAAGCUUCACGCUUCUUCAUUCAUUCCACGGAGGGGAUGGCCAGCAGUUUCUGUAGGUUUCUAGCAAUCUUGAAUGGAACAGGCUUCAUGCAUGCUCCAUUCUGACCCCUGAAGACUGCUUUGGCAAGAAGAAACAGAAUUGGCGCGCCUUUCUCCACGACCUCCAGGACCCAAACUUGACAUCGGGACGCUUUCUCCUCCCAAGAGGCCUCUGUGGCAAGUAAGUCUCCAGCACCGAGAAAGGAACAACAAAAAGGGAAUGAUGUGGAGGGGGGCUACCGGGCGAGGGGGGGAUUCCCUAGCUGUGCCAUGGCAUUCUAUGAUGAUGUACUUCAUCGGGACUGAAGAAUGUGGACAAGAAAUGUUUGCUCCACAUCUUAUACUAUUAUUAUUGUUGUUAUUACAUUUCUAUCCUGCUCUUCCUGCAAGGAGCCCAGAGCGGUGACUGGCCCAGAGUCACUCAGCUAGUUUCAUGGCUGAAUGGGGAUUUGAACUCGGGUCUCCCCGGUCCUAGUCUAGCACUCUAACCACUACACCACACUGGCUCCUUUACUAGGCAUGGAUUGUCACAGCUUAAUAUAAAAAUGCAAAAACCGUGAGUGGUCCAUUAUCCACAAAAUCUUAUAUUUAAGAUUUAGCUUUGUAUUGAAUUGGUGAUGUUUUCUUGUGAGCCGACGGAGAGGCAAGUUUGUGGCGGGAUGGAAACAUGUCAAAGACAGAAUAUAAAGUGCCCAGAGACCUGAGUUUUCAGCUCUAUGGAUAUAUGCUCAAUAAAUUAAUGAGCAGCCUUCUAAUCUUACAAGGUGAAGAUGGGAUAUUUCCCUUACUAGAAAAUCUUUCUUCCUUUCCUACAGAUCUCCUUCCUUCAAGUUUCAGGGAAGAACUCACGGCGUCUCAAGAACGGAAGAAACGGAGCAACGAGGCACGACAAAAGCCAAACCAGGGGCUGCAGAACUCAAGCCGCGCAAGACUCUCUGAAUACCGGGGCUCUCCACAGAAGCCUCAGGCUUCUUGAUUCUCCCACCCGUUUGUCAGGCAGCAGCAUCUCUAAGAUUCUGGCUGUCCUGAUUGAAACACGCUUCAUGCGUGUCUGAAGCUUCAGGCUUCUUGAUUCUCCCACCAGCCCGGUCAGGUAGCAUCAUCUCUAAGAUUCUGGCUGUCUUGAAUGCAACACGCUUCAUGCGUGUCUGAAGCUUCACGCUUCUUCAUUCAUUCCACGGAGGGGAUGGCCAGCAGUUUCUGUAGGUUUCUAGCAAUCUUGAAUGGAACAGGCUUCAUGCAUGCUCCAUUCUGCCCCCUGAAGACUGCUUUGGCAAGAAGAAACAGAAUUGGCGCGCCUUUCUCCAGGACCUCCAGGCCCUAAACUUGACAUCAGGAUGCUUUCUCCUCCCAAGAGGCCUCUUGCCUGAAGAUCUCAAGAAGGAACUAACAGCGUUCCAAGAACGAAGGAAAGGGAGCAACGAAGCACAACAGAAGCCAAACCAGGGGCUGCAGAACUCAAGCCGCGCAAGACUCUCUGAAUACAGGGGCUCUCCACAGAAGCCUCAGGCUUCUUGAUUCCCCCACCCGUUUGUCAGGCAGCAGCAUCUCUAAGAUUCUGGCUGUCCUGAUUGAAACACGCUUCAUGCGUGUCUGAAGCUUCAGGCUUCUUGAUUCUCCCACCAGCCCGGUCAGGUAGCAUCAUCUCUAAGAUUCUGGCUGUCUUGAAUGCAACACACUUCAUGCGUGUGUGAAGCUUCACGCUUCUUCAUUCAUUCCACGGAGGGGAUGGCCAGCAGUUUCUGUAGGUUUCUAGCAAUCUUGAAUGGAACAGGCUUCAUGCAUGCUCCAUUCUGCCCCCUGAAGACUGCUUUGGCAAGAAGAAACAGAAUUGGCGCGCCUUUCUCCAGGACCUCCAGGCCCUAAACUUGACAUUGGGAUGCUUUCUCCUCCCAAGGGGCCUCAGUGGCAAAUCUCCUUCCUACAGGUUUCAGGGAAGAACUCACGGCGUCUCAAGAACGGAAGAAACGGAGCAACGAGGCACGACAGAAGCCAAAACGGGCUGCAGAACUCAAGCCGCACAAGACUCUCUGAAUACAGGGGCUCUCCACAGAAGCCUCAGGCUUCUUGAUUCUCCCACCCGUUUGUCAGGCAGCAGCAUCUCUAAGAUUCUGGCUGUCCUGAUUGAAACACGCUUCAUGCGUGUUUGAAGCUUCAGGCUUCUUGAUUCUCCCACCAGCCCGGUCAGGUAGCAUCAUCUCUAAGAUUCUAGCUGUCUUGAAUGCAACACGCUUCAUGCGUGUGUGAAGCUUCACGCUUCUUCAUCCAUUCCACGCAUAGCUAGGCCAGCAGUUUCUGUAAGUUUCUAGCAAUCUUGAAUGGAACAGGCUUCAUGCAUGCUCCAUUCUGACCCAAGAAGACUAGUUUGGCAAGAAGAAACAGAAUUGGCGCGCCUUUCUCCAGGACCUCCAGGCCCUAAACUUGACAUCAGGAUGCUUUCUCCUCCCAAGAGGCCUCUUGCCUGAAGAUCUCAAGAAGGAACUAACAGCGUUCCAAGAACGAAGGAAAGGGAGCAACGAAGCACAACAGAAGUCAAACCAGGGGCUGCAGAACUCAAGCCGCGCAAGACUCUCUGAAUACAGGGGCUCUCUACAGGAGCCUCAGGCUUCUUGAUUCCCCCACCCGUUUGUCAGGCAGCAGCAUCUCUAAGAUUCUGGCUGUCCUGAUUGAAACACGCUUCAUGCGUGUCUGAAGCUUCAGGCUUCUUGAUUCUCCCACCAGCCCGGUCAGGUAGCAUCAUCUCUAAGAUUCUGGCUGUCUUGAAUGCAACACGCUUCAUGCGUGUCUGAAGCUUCACGCUUCUUCAUUCAUUCCACGGAGGGGAUGGCCAGCAGUUUCUGUAGGUUUCUAGCAAUCUUGAAUGGAACAGGCUUCAUGCAUGCUCCAUUCUGACCCCUGAAGACUGCUUUGGCAAGAAGAAACAGAAUUGGCGCGCCUUUCUCCAGGACCUCCAGGCUUGAACCAUUAUGUUGGAAUCCUUUUUCUUCCCAUUGCUUCAAGGACCUCCAUGGCUGCUUGGUGAUGUUGAAAUAUUUCGUUAUUACCCUAUUAUCCAAGAUUCUGUCCUUGGCAAUGUAGUAAUAUAAAAAAAUUAAAUGCAGCACAGUUCAAAAUACACGACAUAACUUGCUGUUAUCCUACGUUUUUCCAGAAAGAUUGGGCGCCGGUUAUGAUACACAAGCCAAGUGGGAAGAGAAAGUAUCUCAGGCAAAAAUGGAACCAGAUUUCACGAAGCAGUCUCGGUAGGCUACAGACAUCAAGCCAAGAUCAACCAAUCUCUUUUGACACAAGGAACAGCUUCAAAGAACUGAUGCAAGUAUACAACAUCUCUACGGUCUUACGAAUGGAACACGCUCCACGCAUAUUGCAUUCUAUCCUUUCAGAAAGCUCAGUGAAACCAGGCUGCUCCGUAACUCAAGGCUCCGGGCUUGAGCUCCUUUGGUCUCUCAAAACUGUGAAUCCAGGAGCUGUAAAACUGAUGCUUCAUGUGUCCCGACAGCUUUGUGAACCAUCAGGAUCUCUAAGAUGGCGGCUGGCUUGAAAGAAAGGAACAAGCUUGACGUGUCUUUCAUCCUAUCCUCCCAAGAGCCUUUUGCAGCAUGCACGGCAGGAAGGAACAGAGUUCGCACACCUUUCCCAAUCAUCUCCAUUCCUGACUGAUAGUUUUGGUUCAAAGACAGCUGAAAAGAUGGCGUGCCUGAAAGACAGAGGCUGGACCCAGAUCUCAAGAAAGAAUGAAAGGAGGCAAUGACACAGAAGCCGUGUCAAGCAGAUCUCUGAGAGCCCUUUGGGGUCUAAGAGCAGGCUCCUUUCUCCUUCUCCUUCUCCUCUUAUUAUGUGAAUCACUUUGAGAAUCCUUUGUUGGAAAGUGGCAUAUAAAUAUUUGUAGUAGUAAUAAUAAUAAUAAUAAUAAUAAUAAUAAUAAUAAUAAUUUUGCUAUCAGUUUAGGCCUCUUUUCCAGAUAAGUAUCUAAGACACUGGCUGCAACCAGAGGCUUCAUGUGUGAGUUGCUUAUUUUCUUGAUCUUCAGAGAGCCCUAGGAGGUAAGUUACGUUGGAAUAUGCUUUGUUAACUUCAACUGUUUAUGCCUAAUAAAGAAAGAAAUAUACAAAUUUAUUCAAAAUAUCUCUGUCCUACCCAUUCAACCCACUGUCACUACUAAAUGCAACUCUGUUCUACUAAAUGGAAAAGGGGAAAGAAGGAAAAACACUACUAAAUGCAAUUUUAAAAAAUCACUACUGAAUUUAAAAAGCAAACAAACUCCAACCUCACUACUAAAUGCAAAAACAGAAAACACAGAACCCACUACUCAAUGCAAUUAAAAACAAAACCUAAACAAGAACAGAUUAAAUAGACAUAACCGCCGGGAUUAAAAACGGAUUAAAACGGGAAACCCAAUUACUAGCACCGUUCAAAAGCUGCUUCAAGGGGAGCUCUCAAACUCUUCUAAAAAAAAAUCGAAUCCAGUGUGGAAACUGAAACACAAUAUCUCCUGCACAGAGGUGUGGGCAGUCGCUUGUAUCUAACUUAACUAUGUAUUUGUUGUUUGCCCAGGCAAUGCUUGUUAUAUAUUUGAUUAUUGGGGGGGGCCCUGCCCACCAGAAAUUACAGUAUAUGAAACUGAGUUCCUAGGAAAAGUGGAUUUUUUCUUUGGGCAAAUUUCCUGAGAUGGCUGCUUUGCGUGAGUAUCUUUUCAGUGAAUCUGAAAAAAACCUAUUUGUAAUGUUUGGAACUAACACUAACACUUAACACUUGCUCACUGAAGGAUAUUUUGUGAUAUUUUGCAUUUUGUUGCAUAAAUCAGUUCCAAAGAGAGAGUAUUGUGUCUCUGGAUUUAUUUAUUUUUUUAAUCCCGGGCAGGUUGAUCUAAAUGGACUGUGAUGUGGAUUUGGGAUGAAUCUCUCAACAAAUCAGAAGUGUGUAAAAAUGGCCUAUGUCAAAGAGGUAUGUCUCACCCCUUUUUAGAUUCCUCCCCAACCCCGAUGUCCUCCCCCCCGCAGCAGGUAGCUUUUAUAUGGACUGCCAUGUAGACUGUGGGUGUUCCCAUCUUCGAGGAUAUUGCGAGAAAUCAGAGGUGUAGAACAAUGGCUGAUGUCAAAGAGGUUCAUGUUCAUGUUGAUCUUUUUCAGAUGUUCUUUUUCCCCAGCAGGUGAACGAAUAUGCAUUGCCAUGUAGACUGGGAAUGAAUUUAGAUUGCGUGUGAAUACCUUACCUAGGUGCACAUUCCCAUAAAUCAGAAGGCUUAAAAACGCCUGUCAAUGAUAUGUAUUGAGCUCUAGUUCGAUGUUUUUAUUUGCUUGUAAGGAUGUUGGAUGUACAAGUUCGAGGUGACUGUGUAAUCUAGUUGCUUCAGCUGCUUUUCCUCUCAAAAGAGACUUGUGUGGGCAUACUGAAAUUUGUUCUUACCGUAAUAUCUUAGGGACGUAGGAGCUGAAGUCCUACGGUCAGGGUGAAGUGCUGGUAACCUCUCCCCUGCAGUUUCAGGAACAAAUAUGAACACUUACUGUAACACGGAUCAGGGUGGAAAGACGAAGACUGAGGAACUGAUUCACGGUGGAAGGAGCUGCUGCCUUCCCGACCGAUGCUUGCUGCGUCCAUCUCAUGCCUUAUUACCUUGAAAUUGUUCUCUGUGUAUUUUCUGUAUGUGAGCAACCUGCACUGAUGAUUCUGUGAAAUGUUUUUGUAGAACCCGGGUUCUUUUCUGUAAUGCAAUUUAAAGGUCUGAAACAAAUGCUUGCACUAUAGUAAAAGAAUGUUGUGGUGUGGCGGCUA